AUUGAACGCUGGCGGCAGGCCUAACACAUGCAAGUCGAGCGGGGGUAGCAAUACCCUAGCGGCGAACGGGUGAGUAAUGCCUAGGAAUCUGCCUCGUAGUGGGGGACAACGUUUCGAAAGGAACGCUAAUACCGCAUACGUCCUACGGGAGAAAGUGAGGGAUCUUCGGACCUCACGCUAUGAGAUGAGCCUAGGUAAGAUUAGCUAGUUGGUGGGGUAAGGGACCACCAAGGCGACGAUCGUUAACUGGUCUGAGAGGAUGAUCAGUCACACUGGAACUGAGACACGGUCCAGACUCCUACGGGAGGCAGCAGUGGGGAAUGUUGGACAAUGGGGGAAACCCUGAUCCAGCCAUGCCGCGUGUGUGAAGAAGGCCUUCGGGUUGUAAAGCACUUUAAGCAGGGAGGAAGGUUUGCUGGUUAAUACCUGGCAAAAUUGACGUUACCUGCAGAAUAAGCACCGGCUAACUCUGUGCCAGCAGCCGCAGUAA
rnacentral:rRNA from 1 species